rnacentral:rRNA from 1 species
AACGAACGCUGGCGGCAGGCUUAACACAUGCAAGUCGAACGCCCCGCAAGGGGAGUGGCAGACGGGUGAGUAACGCGUGGGAACAUACCCUUUUCUACGGAAUAGCUCUGGGAAACUAGAAUUAAUACCGUAUACGCCCUACGGGGGAAAGAUUUAUCGGGGAAGGAUUGGCCCGCGUUGGAUUAGCUAGUUGGUGGGGUAAAGGCCUGCCAAGGCGACGAUCCAUAGCUGGUAUGAGAGGAUGAUCAGCCACAUUGGGACUGAGACACGGCCCAAACUCCUACGGGAGGCAGCAGUGGGGAAUAUUGGACAAUGGGCGCAAGCCUGAUCCAGCCAUGCCGCGUGAGUGAUGAAGGCCUUAGGGUUGUAAAGCUCUUUCACCGAUGAAGAUAAUGACGGUAGUCGGAGAAGAAGCCCCGGCUAACUUCGUGCCAGCAGCCGCCGUAAGAC